UACGGAGGGUGCAAGCGUUAUCCGGAUUUACUGGGUUUAAAGGGCGCGUAGGCGGCGUGACAAGUCACUUGUGAAAUCUCCGGGCUUAACUCGGAAAGGUCAACUGAUACUGCGGGGCUAGAGUGCAGAAGGGGCAACUGGAAUUCUCGGUGUAGCGGUGAAAUGCGUAGAUAUCGAGAGGAACACCUGCGGCGAAGGCGGGUUGCUGGGCUGACACUGACGCUGAACUGCGAAAGCUAGGGGAGCGAACGGG
rnacentral:rRNA from 1 species